UGGGUAGUGUGUCUUUUCGGAAUACAGUCACAAACCAGACUGACCGGUUUCUCAUUAUAACCGGACUGACAGGUUUCUCAUUCCGGAAGGGCAUACUAACCAGC
rnacentral:pre_miRNA from 1 species